GCCAGGCACGGUGGCGUGUGCCUGUAGUCCCACUACUCGGGAGGCUGAGGCUGAAUAAUCACUUGAAUUCAGGAGGUGGAGGUUGCAGUGAGCCAAGAUGGCACCACUGCACUCCAGCCUGGGUGACAAAGUGAGACUCUGUCUCAA
rnacentral:sRNA from 1 species